UGGGGAAUUUUGGACAAUGGGCGCAAGCCUGAUCCAGCAAUGCCGCGUGCAGGAUGAAGGCCUUCGGGUUGUAAACUGCUUUUGUACGGAGCGAAAAGGUCUGCCCUAAUACGGUGGGCUCAUGACGGUACCGUAAGAAUAAGCACCGGCUAACUACGUGCCAGCAGCCGCGGUAAUACGUAUGGUGCGAGCGUUAAUCGGAUUUACUGGGCGUAAAGCGUGCGCAGGCGGUUAUAUAAGACAGAUGUGAAAUCCCCGAGCUCAACCUGGGACCUGCAUUUGAGACUGUAUAGCUAGAGUACGGUAGAGAGGGAUAGAAUUCCGCGUGUAGCAGUGAAAUGCGUAGAUAUGCGGAGGAACACCGAUAGCGAAGGCAAUCCCCUGGACAUGUACUGACGCUCAUGAACGAAAGCGUGGAGAGCAAACA
rnacentral:rRNA from 1 species